UACGGGGGGGGCAAGCGUUGUUCGGAUUUACUGGGCGUAAAGGGCGCGUAGGCGGCAGAUUAAGUCAGCUGUGAAAUCUCCGAGCUUAACUCGGAACUGUCAGCUGAUACUGUUUUGCUAGAGUGCGGAAGGGGCAAUCGGAAUUCUUGGUGUAGCGGUGAAAUGCGUAGAUAUCAAGAGGAACACCUGAGGUGAAGACGGGUUGCUGGGCCGACACUGACGCUGAGUGCGCGAAAGCCAGGGGAGCAAACGGG
rnacentral:rRNA from 1 species